rnacentral:rRNA from 1 species
GACGAACCGUACGAACGUUAUUCGGAAUUACUGGGCUUAAAGGGUGCGUAGGCGGCGCAGUAAGUUGGGUGUGAAAUCCUCGGCUUAACCGAGGAAUUGCGCCCAAAACUACUGUGCUCGAGGGAGAUAGAGGUGAGCGGAACUUAGGGUGGAGCGGAUGAAUGCGUUGAUAUCCUAAGGAACACCGGUGGCGAAAGCGGCUCACUGGAUCUCUUCUGACGCUGAGGCACGAAAGCUAGGAUAGCAACGGG